UCCAUGAUCAAGAGUUGUUCUUCGGGAGUGAUAUUGCCUCGACGAACGUCCGGACGAAGAUAAUUCAGCCAACGGAGUCGGCAACUUUUUCCGCGUCAGCAAGGCUGCAUUACUCUGUCUCAGCUGUAGAUUUAGAAACAUAUCGUUGUUUUUGUGACCUCUAAGAAAUGAUGUCAACUCCAAGAAAGACGCAGUAAUCGGAGAUGGAACAUCAAUCAUCAGCAUCACUACCCGAGUUAACGUUGGAAUAAGCAGUCAGAGGAAGUGAUAAGUGUUAAAAGGCACUUGGAAGCAAAAGGAAUAAAAAAUUAGCGAAAAUUGGAGAGUCGAAGCAAGCUACAGGAGCCACACGGGCCAAACCACAUGGCCAUGUGGCCAACACAGGCGUGUGGUAGACCAUGUAAAUUUCACAGAAUUGCAUACUGAACUGCGGAAAUCACGAUUUUUAGGUAUUUUUGAGCAUUCUAAGAUGUAUAUAUGACAAAAAAUAUGAAGAUAGGACGGAGCCGUCAGAGAAUACUCAAAAAAAAACUUGAAAAACACCAUUGAAGCCGAUUUGGAAGCAGAUUUCUAUCAAAAUUGAAGAUUCCCAUUUGAUUUCUUAGGAAGUUAUCAUGAGUUUCUUUAGUUCUUCCGGUUAUGCUAUAUAUUGGAUGUUUUUAUUUUCAAGCAUGAACUAAUUUUCUAAAUACCUAAGGGAGAUGAACCCUAUGAUGGAUUUUGUCAUUUUAUUUUUAUUUUAUGCAAUAAAUACUUAGCUUCUUGUUCUCAA